rnacentral:rRNA from 1 species
CCUACGGGCGGCUGCAGUGGGGAAUAUUGGACAAUGGGGGGAACCCUGAUCCAGCCAUGCCGCGUGUGUGAAGAAGGCCCUCGGGUUGUAAAGCACUUUCAGUGAGGAAGAACGCCUGGUGGUUAAUACCCAUCAGGAAAGACAUCACUCACAGAAAAAGCCCCGGCUAACUCCGUGCCAGCAGCCGCGGUAAUACGGAGGGUGCGAGCGUUAAUCGGAAUUACUGGGCGUAAAGCGCGCGUAGGUGGCUUGAUAAGCCGGUUGUGAAAGCCCCGGGCUCAACCUGGGAACGGCAUCCGGAACUGUCAAGCUAGAGUGCAGGAGAGGAAGGUAGAAUUCCCGGUGUAGCGGUGAAAUGCGUAGAGAUCGGGAGGAAUACCAGUGGCGAAGGCGGCCUUCUGGACUGACACUGACACUGAGGUGCGAAAGCGUGGGUAGCAAACAGGAUUAGAUACCCUAGUAGUC